GGAAUCUUGCACAAUGGGGGAAACCCUGAUGCAGCGACGCCGCGUGAGCGAUGAAGCCCUUCGGGGUGUAAAGCUCUUUCGGCAGGGACGAUGAUGACGGUACCUGAAGAAGAAGCUGCGGCUAACUACGUGCCAGCAGCCGCGGUAAUACGUAGGCAGCGAGCGUUGUUCGGAGUUACUGGGCGUAAAGCGUGCGUAGGCGGUGUUCCAAGUCUGGUGUGAAAUCUCCCGGCUCAACUGGGAGGGUGCGCCGGAAACUGGGAUGCUGGAGUGUGGGAGAGGUAAGCGGAAUUCCUGGUGUAGCGGUGAAAUGCGUAGAUAUCAGGAGGAACACCUGCGGUGUAGACGGCUUACUGGACCAUAACUGACGCUGAGGCACGAAAGCGUGGGGAGCAAACAGG
rnacentral:rRNA from 1 species